GGUCUGUUAGCUCAGUCGGCAGAGCAUCGUGCUAAUAACGCGAGGGUCAUGAGUUCGAGCCUCAUAUAGACCA
rnacentral:tRNA from 1 species